UACGUAGGGGGGCUAGCGUUGUCCGGAAUCAUUGGGCGUAAAGAGCGUGUAGGCGGCCCGGUAAGUCCGCUGUAAAAGUCAAAGGCUCAACCUUUGAAUGUCAGUGGAUACUGCCGGGCUAGAGUCCGGAAGAGGCGAGUGGAACUCCUGGUGUAGCGGCGGAAUGCGCAGAUAUCGGGAGGAACACCAGUAGCGAAGGCGGCACUCUGGGCCGGUACUGACGCUGAGGAGCGAAAGCGUGGGGAGCAAACAGG
rnacentral:rRNA from 1 species